rnacentral:rRNA from 1 species
CCUAAGGUAGCGAAAUUCCUUGUCGGGUAAGUUCCGACCUGCACGAAUGGCGUAAUGAUGGCCAGGCUGUCUCCACCCGAGACUCAGUGAAAUUGAACUCGCUGUGAAGAUGCAGUGUACCCGCGGCAAGACGGAAAGACCCCGUGAACCUUUACUAUAGCUUGACACUGAACACUGGUCCUUGAUGUGUAGGAUAGGUGGGAGGCUUUGAAGCGUGGACGCCAGUCUGCGUGGAGCCAACCUUGAAAUACCACCCUUUAAUGGCUGGUGUUCUAACGUAGACCCGUAAUCCGGGUUGCGGACAGUGUCUGGUGGGUAGUUUGACUGGGGCGGUCUCCUCCCAAAGAGUAACGGAGGAGCACGAAGGUUGGCUAAUCCUGGUCGGACAUCAGGAGGUUAGUGCAAUGGCAUAAGCCAGCUUGACUGCGAGCGUGACGGCGCGAGCAGGUGCGAAAGCAGGUCAUAGUGAUCCGGUGGUUCUGAAUGGAAGGGCCAUCGCUCAACGGAUAAAAGGUACUCCGGGGAUAACAGGCUGAUACCGCCCAAGAGUUCAUAUCGACGGCGGUGUUUGGCACCUCGAUGUCGGCUCAUCACAUCCUGGGGCUGAAGUAGGUCCCAAGGGUAUGGCUGUUCGCCAUUUAAAGUGGUACGCGAGCUGGGUUUAGAACGUCGUGAGACAGUUCGGUCCCUAUCUGCCGUGGGCGCUGGAGAAUUGAGGGGGGCUGCUCCUAGUACGAGAGGACCGGAGUGGACGCAUCACUGGUGUUCGGGUUGUCAUGCCAAUGGCACUGCCCGGUAGCUAAAUGCGGAAGAGAUAAGUGCUGAAAGCAUCUAAGCACGAAACUUGCCCCGAGAUGAGUUCUCCCUGAGACCUUGAGUCUCCUGAAGGAACGUUGAAGACGACGACGUUGAUAGGUCGGGUGUGUAAGCGCAGCGAUGCGUUGAGCUAACCGAUACUAAUGAACCGUGAGGCUUAACCUU